rnacentral:rRNA from 1 species
UUAUUAUAGUUUCUAGUACGAAAGGGCCGUUAUUAUGGAAAAUUUUCUUAUUUUUGAAUAUUAUUAA